rnacentral:snRNA from 1 species
AUACUUACCUGAACGGGGUCAAUGGGCGAUCAAUAAGGCCCAUGGCCUAGGUUGGUGACCUCCAUUGCACUUUGGAGGGGUAGGUGCCCGCCUAAGGUCGGCCCAAGCGGUCGAGCCUACGUCAUAAUUGAGC